AACGAACGCUGGCGGCAGGCUUAACACAUGCAAGUCGAACGGGUGUAGCAAUACAUCAGUGGCAGACGGGUGAGUAACACGUGGGAACCUUCCUAGGGGUACGGAACAACUCAGGGAAACUUGAGCUAAUACCGUAUACGUCCGUGAGGAGAAAGAUUUAUCGCCCUUAGACGGGCCCGCGUCGGAUUAGGUAGUUGGUGGGGUAACGGCCUACCAAGCCUACGAUCCGUAGCUGAUCUGAGAGGAUGAUCAGCCACACUGGGACUGAGACACGGCCCAGACUCCUACGGGAGGCAGCAGUGGGGAAUCUUGGACAAUGGGCGCAAGCCUGAUCCAGCCAUGCCGCGUGAGUGAAGAAGGCCUUAGGGUUGUAAAGCUCUUUUACCAGGGACGAUAAUGACGGUACCUGGAGAAUAAGCCCCGGCAAACUUCGUGCCAGCCGCCGCCGUAAAAC
rnacentral:rRNA from 1 species